rnacentral:lncRNA from 1 species
GAUCACAUUUAGGGUUUUCUUGUCAAAGAUCCUGGAGUGGUUUGAUAUCCCCUUUUCCAUCUUGAGUGAUGAGCAAACUGACUUGCCCAGGGUCAUGUAACUAGAAAACUGAAAAUGCAUCGCCUAUGUAUGAGUCACAAAACUGGUUUCAUCAACAUUCAAUCAUAUGAAGAUUUGGUGAUGAAAAAAAAUUAUAAAGAGACAAUCCACUGGGCAAAGGCAGACCCUGUGGUUCAUGGAUUGAUCUUGAAUGAUAUCUCCCUCCAACGCCAAUGGAAAGCAAAAAAAGAAGCAAAUAAUGGAAAGAAAUAUUCUUGAUUCCUAGCCUAACAUAUAUCACCAAACUAGAGUGUUAUUCCUUUGACUUUAAUCGAUUUGACAUUAAUUUCUCUAGAUAAUCCCUAUAAAAAUUCAAAUAUUCUCAAUGAAGGAAUAUGGAAUUCUUUUAUAAGUCAUUAAUAUCUUAGGAAAGAUCAAUUUAUGAACUUUUCCUUUCAAUAGGAUAGUUACCUAUAAGGGAAAAAGAAACAUAGGACAGGCAAGUUUAAGACAGGAUCAUAAAGAACUCAUGGUUUAGGGAGGGAAAAGCUAGAUAAGUAACCAGGGUAGAACUCUGAGGAUCCAAGGGCUGAAGAAAGACCCGGUUUUCCUUCAUAGAGAUGUGCCAAGACAGGGAAAAAGGUCACUGAAAAGAGGAGAAAAGAAAAAAUAGAAGAUGUACCUAUUUCAUCUUUAUAUAUCAGUUAUGGCAGAAUGUUAAGCUAAGGCCAAGUUUCAGUCAACACUGAACUAGGAAAAUGUCAUAUACUUUACUUCGUGUGGUAGUUAGAAAUUAGGUGGUAUAUGGAAGACUUCAAGAAGACUAAAACCUAGUUAUGAG